CGGGGUGCAGCAGGCGCGAAAACUCCACAAUGUACGACAGUACGAUGGGGUUAUCUCGAGUGCAGUCCGAUAAGGGCUGCUUUUCCAUAGAGUAAUAUCCUGUGGGAAUAAGAGGGGGGCAAGACUGGUGUCAGCCGCCGCGGUAACACCAGCCCCUCGAGUGGUGGGGACUAUUAUUUGGUCUAAAGCGUCCGUAGCUGGCUGUAUCCGUCCCCCGUUAAAUCCAGCGUCCUAAGCGUUGGACCGCGGGUGAUACCAUACAGCUAGAGGGUGGGAUAGGUGAGCGGUAUUUCUGGGGUAGGGGCGAAAUCCUUUGAUCCCAGGAGGACCACCAGUGGCGAAGGCUGCUCACUAGAACACGCCUGACGGUCAGGGACGAAAGCUGGGGCAGCGAACCGGAUUAGAUACCCGGGUAGUCCCAGCUGUAAACGAUGCCAGCUAGGUGUUGGGUCGGCCACGCGCCGCCCCAGUGCCGCAGGGAAGCCGUUAAGCUGGCCACCUGGGGAGUACGGCCGCAAGGCUGAAACUUAAAGGAA
rnacentral:rRNA from 1 species